rnacentral:rRNA from 1 species
UACCAGCACCCCGAGUGGUCGGGACGAUUAUUGGGCCUAAAGCAUCCGUAGCCGGUUCUACAAGUCUUCCGUUAAAUCCAGCUGCUUAACAGAUGGGCUGCGGAGGAUACUAUAAGACUAGGAGGCAGGAGAGGCAAGCGGUACUCAGUGGGUAGGGGUAAAAUCCGUUGAUCCAUUGAAGACCACCAGUGGCGAAGGCGGCUUGCCAGAACGCACUCGACGGUGAGGGAUGAAAGCUGGGGGAGCAAACCGG